rnacentral:ncRNA from 14 species
CUUUUAUCCAGAGAUGGCGGAGGGACAGGCCCGAAGAAGCCCAGCAACCAACACGUAACGUGUAAAGGUGCUAACCUGCAGAAUGCUCGGCGUUCUGGAAGAUAAGAG